CCUUUCCCUAGUACGAGAGGACCGGGAAGGACGCACCUCUGGUGUACCAGUUAUCGUGCCUACGGUAAACGCUGGGUAGCCAAGUGCGGAGAGGAUAACUGCUGAAAGCAUAUAAGUAGUAAGCCCACCCCAAGAUGAGUGCUCUCUCCUCCGAUUUCCCUAGAGCCUCCGGUAUCACAGCCGAGACAGCGACGGGUUCUCCACCCAUACGGGGAUGGAGCGACAGAAGUAUGGAAAUAGGAUAAGGUAGCGGCGAGACGAGCCGUUUAAAUAGG
rnacentral:ncRNA from 1 species